CGGCAACUCAGCUGACAAGUAGCAAAUCUCUCCGUCUCUCACUGUUGUUUUUACUGCUUUCAGAAAUGGUUCAGUGUCAUGGGAAUAAGUCCGUUAGCAUCACAACCGUGAGCUAACAGAGGCUAACUAUAAGAGGUAAAAGCGGUUCAGGGGAAAGUUGCUGAAACCCUGUUGCACGACCUGAAACCCAGGAGAUUUUGUGGUGGUACGAGACCUGAGGCGAAAGAGCUGGAAGGCAUAAAGGUGGCUGGGACCGUUCCAGGUGCUUCUGACCACUCACACGGCUGUGAAGGUAGCUGAGAGAGCAACGUGGAUUCACACCAGCCACUGCAGAAAAUUCCCAUCUGCAUCUAAGGAAGAGGAGCGGAGGGAGUAAAAAUCUAAAGAUACACACGUCAACAAAGGCCAGAAUCCAGCAUAAACAUCAAGCGUCCUUAUCAGCAGAAGAGCAAGGUCAAGACUGAAAAACAGCAUCGAAGCAGCCUGCGCACAAGUGAAAAGUUAACAAAUAUUAGUAUCACAGUUGGGUGCUCAACCGAGGCCCAUGAAAUUCUGGCACAGUGAGAGAAAGGCUGGGAAAGGUUACACAACCAUAGUUGGGCAAUCGGCAUCAGGGAGGAGGUGCAGCUUCAAAGAUGGAAGCAGCAGAGCGGCAGAUCAUCUCCAACCAGUCUACCUCAUACUUCCUGGGCUGACAACCGUACAAAAGACACUGCCAACCGACAGAAUGGAGCAUGCAAGACAACGACACCCAUUCAGACUGCAAGGACUGUGUGGCCUUAGAGGUACAACAUUUAUAUUGGCUGCACUGACUGUAAUAAUAUGUUCGACUGCAUCUUACCUGACUGCAGAACUAGUAGGGGAGGUGACCAGUUAUAAUCCAGGUGAAAACACCACAUCGAACCAUACGAAUCAUCAACGAGUGAAGAGAUCAACGCUGACUCUAGUGGUACCAACGCAUGGACUGGACAAAGACAUCGUAAUGGUAACAGAAGGGUCAAAUGUGAAAUUCAACUGUAACCCAUUCAUUAAGAACUGUCCAUAUUGUGGAAGGCCUGAAUACGAAGACACAAGCAGCGCUGAGUAUGCACAAGUCUACUUUUGCAGACAUCCGUGUAAAUGGAGUGAGGUGAAAGCCUUCGAACAUCCUGAGAGCUAUGGAACAGAUGGGAGAUUUAAAGUGGUGAAGAGAAGCAAGUGUGGUCAAAACAAGGGCGGGAUGUCUGUCAUAAUUGCAAAAGUCAGGACUUCGGAUCAAGGCAAGUACUACUGUGGCAUCAAUAAAACGGGAACUGAUUGGUAUGAAGCAUUAAGCAUUGUCUUGGGCAAGCCAGCACCACAGCCAGUGAAACAUCUUGUUGAGUCUGCUUUUGAACCAGCUACAAAGGAAGAGGCAGUGUGGAUGGGAAACAAGGAAGCGGGCAGAGGGGGAAUGAAUCCUACACUGCAAAAAGCCAUGACGAAGUGCCAGGGGAAUAAGGCGUGUACUUUGGCACUGUUGCAGAAAGAGGAGUUGAAGAUAAACACCAGCUGCUGGCUGUGUCUGCAGAUGUCUCACUCAUGGAGAGCUGCUCCAUUGACUGUAACAACCCUAAAGGAAUCCAGAUGCCUAAUAUCUCAACAGAUGGCAGAAGUGUUGAUGGCUGCGGAUGAUAUAGAGAAAGGGAGGAUGCCGAAGAGGAAACCGGAACCUGACUGCAAUGGAACACAGUGGGACGACAAAUCAGACAUGAUGAUACCACCGUUGAGAGUGGUGCACACGCAAGGGGAUGUGUGCAUCUGCCAAACGAGACCCAGAUUGAAGCUGAAGGCGGGAUAGUCUGACUGCAGGAUCAGGAUCAACAUCAAGAAUGGAACAGCGAAUAACUGCACAGCAAACAUUGAUGGGACACUGACAACGUUCACAUGUACUUUCAACAGACCGAGCGACACUUCACCUGCUGCUGAGUGGGUGUGUGUAGACAGAGCAUAUCAUGACCUGCCAGAGAAAGGAUGGACAGGGUGUUGUUAUCCAGCAUUAAUGAAUGUAGGGACAUCUGUGUACUUACCAAGUGAAGAGCAUAAAGGUGAGAGUAGAAAGAGAACAAGUGUUAACAUUUUACCAGGGGCUCUACCAGAGAAGUAUAAUGGGUAUAAUCUAUCAGAUCCUUGGACAACACCAGGUGCUAACAUAGGUGGUCACUUUUCUUAGGAGUAGGAACAGCAGUGAGCAUAAAUAAGAUCAAUGGGUUAGCAUGGACAGUAAUGGCCAUAGCUAAUAGCAUUGAAAAUUCUCUGACAAUGGUUAAUGAUGAAAUGAAACCAUUAAGAGAUGCAGUUAUACAAAAUAGAUUAGUUCUGGAUAUGCUUACGUCGCAAUCUGGGGGGGUCUGUAAAAUGUUGGGUACAUCAUGUUGUUUUCAUAUUCCAGACUACAGCAACAAUGUUACCAAUAUCUUUGCCCACAUGAGAAUGGCCAUAAAAGAGCCUGAGCGCACACACGAUAUAUGGGCAGAAUGGCUGACAAACAUGUGGGGAGGGUGGGGAUAUUGGCUGUGCAACACUGUGUUACCAAUUGUAGCAGUAUAAUUUUUGCUGCUAUUAUGUUUACAAUGUAUUUUUCAGUUCAUAUCCAGCUCAGUAUACAGAGACUGGUGAAGUCUAGAGUUUCACAUCAAAUGGUUAGACUGAAUGUGUACAACAAAGACAUUAUUAUGGAUUUGUGUAGGGAGAAAACUGUUGAUGAAGAGACAACCUGUAGCGAAAGCUACAGUAAAAUGUGUUAAAUGCAUGGAACCUAUGAUAUUUUCUUUGAGAAUGAUAAGUAAUGUUUAGGCACAUCUAUGUCUAUACUGUUUGCUUGCUCAAAAUAGGGUCUAUCCCCAAACAAAAAGCCUUAGCAUAUUUUCUAACUUCUUUCACAAACUUAAGAGAGUGAUCAUUUAUGUGAAAAUCAGAGAUGAAGAGUAUAAAUGUGAUGUAAUAACUUAAGUUUGCUUUAUUGGAAUUAUGUUUGUUUUCUUGUUUGAAUUUUUUAAUUUGAAUUGUGUUUUGAAUCUGUGAGGUGACUGAGGGUCUGACUUAUGUCAGAAAUGCAAGCCUGGCUUCCAGAGCACAUAUAAUGUUAAGAGUGUAGUGAAUGUAUAACCAGUAGUAAUGAUUUUUUUCUGUUUUAUUGAUCAAUGAAUGAUAAAAAGGGGGAAAUUUUAGUGGAAAAAAUUCAUUUACAUUGCUUCUGCAUGACCAUAUAUGCAUGUGUUUUCUUAGAACUGCUGUGUGGACACAGUGAGAGAUGGGUUAAGGGCCUAAGAGUAAGCUGUAUGGGCAACAGGUGGUCCAUGGACCCGUGUUGGGUGCAGAAGGGAGACACCUGGGGGGGAAACAGAUGUUUGAGGAUGACCUGAGAGGUCAUUUGGGCCAUAGAAAUGGUGGAAAUAGAUGCCUAAGGAUGACCUGGGAGGUUAGCUAAGGACUAAAUAUGGGGGGAACCAACCUUUAGAAGAAUGAUAUAGUAGUAUGUUUCUGACUUUCUUGCUAUCUAUGGAAAAGCACAGCUGUUAAGAGUUUAUAACCUUGACUGGGGAAAAGGGAUAUAAAGUGGAGGACUGCCCUCCCUUCCUUGUCACACUCUGCAGCGACCUGUGUUUCUGUAUGACUGUCUGACCUUCU
ensembl:lncRNA